rnacentral:rRNA from 1 species
GACGAACGCUGGCGGCGUGCUUAACACAUGCAAGUCGAACGGAAAGGCCCUGCUUUUGUGGGGUGCUCGAGUGGCGAACGGGUGAGUAACACGUGAGUAACCUGCCCUUGACUUUGGGAUAACUUCAGGAAACUGGGGCUAAUACCGGAUAGGAGCUCCUGCUGCAUGGUGGGGGUUGGAAAGUUUCGGCGGGUGGGGAUGGACUCGCGGCUUAUCAGCUUGUUGGUGGGGUAGUGGCUUACCAAGGCUUGGACGGGUAGCCGGCCGGAGAGGUGGACCGGCAACAUUGGGACUGAGAUACGGCCCAGACUCCAACGGGAGGCAGAAGGGGGGAAUAUUGCACAAUGGGCCGAAGCCGGAUGCAGCAACGCCGCGGGCGGGAUGCCGGCCUUCGGUUGUUAACCCGUUUUCGCCUGUGACGAAGCGUGAGUGACGGUAAUGGGUAAAGAAGCACCGGCUAACUACGUG